rnacentral:piRNA from 1 species
UGAAGCAAUAUGAUAUUGGUGUGGAUGAA